rnacentral:misc_RNA from 1 species
CCUCUCAAUUCUUGUUCCUUUCGCUCUCUCCCUCUUCCCCUCAAUUUUGCCUUCUUUUUCUUCACUUUCCCUCUUUUAAAUAUGCCUUUUGAUUGUAUCGAAAGUACGAGAUGCAUACACUCCAACAACUAAACAAUAAUCUAUGAGUUGCAGAAAUUGUGGAGAGCGCUACUAGUGCUGGUGGAUGAGGGAAGGUCUCCUUCAAAGUGACACUUACCUUUUAUCCCAAUCUCCCUUUCAAGAUGUACAUGUGAUUCUUUUAAUUUUUAGCCUUUUUUAUUUCAUUUUCUCUAUCUUCGUGUUAUUUGUUUUCUCCUUUUAGUUUCUCUUACUUGGCAAUAUGCUCGAAUAGAUAACAAAUCUCUUUUCCUUUAAUGGAAGAUGGUGGUUUUGCAGAUGUAUUGCUUUGAAGGAGCAAGAUAUUCAGAUUAUGAUGGAUUUGCGUUGGAAUUUUGUGUUAGGUAGCUUAAUCAUUUUUGGGAAGUUCCAUUGAAAUUGAGUUGUGCUUUCAAUGUGGGUAUCAAUGUUUCUGGAAGUUAUACAAGGGAAGGAAAUUUGUUUUGCUAGUUUGAGUGAAUUAGUGGUUUUUGCUAUGAGAGUUGCAUAUGGUUUCAUCAUAUGCUUCAGUCCAAAAAAUUCAGAACUCCUAUACAGUUGAAGUCCUUCUUAGUUUUCAAGUCAUUUGAUUUUUUUUUUUU